GAGUGGCAGACGGGUGAGUAACACGUGGGAACGUACCCUUUGGUUCGGGACAACUCUGGGAAACUGGAGCUAAUACCGGAUACGCCCUUUUGGGGAAGGGUUUACUGCCGAAGGAUCGGCCCGCGUCUGAUUAGCUAGUUGGUGGGGUAACGGCCUACCAAGGCGACGAUCAGUAGCUGGUCUGAGAGGAUGAUCAGCCACACUGGGACUGAGACACGGCCCAGACUCCUACGGGAGGCAGCAGUGGGGAAUAUUGGACAAUGGGCGCAAGCCUGAUCCAGCCAUGCCGCGUGAGUGAUGAUGGCCUUAGGGUUGUAAAGCUCUUUUAUCCGGGACGAUAAUGACGGUACCGGAGGAAUAAGCCCCGGCUAACUUCGUGCCAGCAGCCGCGGUAAUACGAAGGGGGCUAGCGUUGCUCGGAAUCACUGGGCGUAAAGGGCGCGUAGGCGGCGUUUUAAGUCGGGGGUGAAAGCCUGUGGCUCAACCACAGAAUGGCCUUCGAUACUGGGACGCUUGAGUCUGGUAGAGGUUGGUGGAACUGCGAGUGUA
rnacentral:rRNA from 1 species